AGGGGGAGCUGAAGUGCCCUGCACUAGGACGUGGUGAAAUCCAAGCUCUGUCAGCUGCUCAGGUGACUGAAUCCUACAGACUUUCCCCAGGAAACACACCUGGUUGUGAUUCAUUGUGCCUCCUGGGAAGCAGGGAUAGAAAUGAUCUCUGCCAUGGAUGACUUCUGCCUCUUCUUCCAGCAGGACAUGGAUGUGGCAGCUGCUGAGGCUCUGCACAAGUGGGAAGGGUGAGCAGCUCUGUGGAGGGCCUGAGCUGACA